UACGUAGGCAGCAAGCGUUGUUCGGAAUUACUGGGCGUAAAGAGUGUGUAGGCGGUGCUCUAGGUUCGGUGUGAAAUCUCCCGGCUUAACUGGGAGGGUGUGCCGGAAACUGGAGUGCUUGAGCGCGGGAGAGGAAAGCGGAAUUCCUGGUGUAGCGGUGAAAUGCGUAGAUAUCAGGAGGAACACCUGUGGUGUAGACGGCUUUCUGGACCGUAGCUGACGCUGAGACACGAAAGCGUGGGUAGCAAACAGG
rnacentral:rRNA from 1 species